rnacentral:misc_RNA from 1 species
AAGUCGUAACAAGGUAACCGUAGGUGAACCUGCGGUUGGAUCAUUAAUAAAACAAUUAUUGAAUUUCCCUCUAAGGGGGGGUCUUCUCUAAACACACUCUUGUGAACUGUUGAUUGUCUCUUGGUGCGGGAACGGGUCUUAAAAAAAACCUUAGGGAAUAGUUCUUUACUAAUUCCGCCCACCAGCUUUAUACUUGAAACUUGAACAAAAAUACUCUAAGUCUUGAAUUUUAAAUUUUUAUCAAAAAAUUGUAAAAACAACUUUUAACAACGGAUCUCUAGGCUCUCA